AUAUCCAUAUGCAUCCAUCAAACCACACAUUGUGCCGCAACAAAGAGAAGAAGGAGGACCCUUGGACGUGCUUGCCAUUCAAGUUGGAUUGUUGGAGCGUUUUUAGGUGUUUUCAUUCUUUUGUUUUCAAUGUCUAAAUUUGUUUAUCUUUGCUUUGUGAGUAUGAGGAACUAAACCCCCCUUAGCUAGGGGGAAUUCAAAGCCAUGAACAUACUUGCAAUAUGAAUUGAUUACCUUCAGUUG
rnacentral:lncRNA from 1 species